rnacentral:rRNA from 1 species
UCUCAAAUCAGGUAGGACUACCCGCUGAACUUAAGCAUAUCAAUAAGCGGAGGAAAAGAAACUAACAAGGAUUCCCCUAGUAACGGCGAGUGAAGCGGGAAGAGCUCAAAUUUAAAAUCUGGCGGUGUAUUCCGUCCGAGUUGUAGUCUAGAGAAGCAUCAUCCGCGCUGGACCAUGUACAAGUCUCUUGGAACAGAGCGUCACAGAGGGUGAGAAUCCCGUCCUUGACAUGGACUCCCAGUGCUUUGUGUUGUGCUCUCGACGAGUCGAGUUGUUUGGGAAUGCAGCUCAAAAUGGGUGGUAAAUUCCAUCUAAAGCUAAAUAUUGGCGAGAGACCGAUAGCGAACAAGUACCGUGAGGGAAAGAUGAAAAGCACUUUGGAGAGAGAGUUAAACAGUACGUGAAAUUGUUGAAAUGGAAACGCUUGAAGUCAGUCGCGUUCUCUGGGAUUCAGCCUUGCUUCUGCUUGGUGCACUUCCUAGUCUACGGGCCAGCAUGGAUUUCGACCGAUGGAAAAAGGCUUGGGGAAUGUGGCACCUCCGGGUGUGUUAUAGCCCCUCGUCAGACACGUCGGUUGGGAUCGAGGACCUCAGUGCACGCUCCGGUUGUGCUUUGAUGCUGGCGUAAU